UACGGGGGGGGCAAGCGUUGUUCGGAAUUACUGGGCGUAAAGGGCCCGUAGGUGGCCAACUAAGUCAACCGUGAAAUCCCUCGGCUUAACCGGGGAACUGCGUCCGAUACUGGUUGGCUUGAGUUUGGGAGAGGGAUGCGGAAUUCCAGGUGUAGCGGUGAAAUGCGUAGAUAUCUGGAGGAACACCGGUGGCGAAGGCGGCAUCCUGGACCAAUACUGACGCUGAGGAGCGAAAGCCAGGGGAGCAAACGGG
rnacentral:rRNA from 1 species